ensembl:lncRNA
AGCUCUUCCAACAGAUGGGUGCCCUUUCAGGGCAGACCACUGCCAGUCACCUGGAGAAUCUGCUGGUUCAGCAAAAGGACAAAGAAGACAGGAGCGAAGAAAUACUCCGACAACUGACCCGGCGCCUCGACACACUGCAGGUUGAAUCGAUAGCCACCAACCAGCCUGGUCCCGAUCGAAAUAGGGCCCAUUCCCUUAACUUUGACCUGUUAAGAUCUUCUACAGACGGACCUCUUUCUUCCCAGAUAAGGUAAGGGGAUCCGGACACAAUCAUCAUCAAGAAUCAAACUAACAUUUGUUAUUCAAUUCAAGUUAUUGGGCUUCGACCGACCAUCCCUGGCUCCUGUGAGUGUGAUUGGUUGAAUGAGGCUUCACUCUGCUGCUCAGGGAGAUGCAGGCGGCCUAUGUGCAGUCUGGGGGGUCGGACCCGGGCCUUCUGGCCCAGAUGAUGGACCUCCAGCGAGAGGCCCAGCGGUUGGAGCAGGCCCCCCUUGAGGCCGAGGCCAAGGGGAGGAGGAAGAAGGUCAGGCCCUAUCGCCGGGGUCCGAACCGGGAGCUGCUGGCCCUGGAGGCCGAGAACCGGAGGCUGGAGCACGAGAUCCUUCAGAUCCAAACAGUCCGGCCCUAUGGAGACCAAGGCUCCUCCUCUCUCUCUCUGGUGGAGGCGGAGCUUCAGCAGGAACAGCUCUACUGCAUGGUGGACAUCAAGGCAGAGAUGGAGGCUCUUCGCCUGGAGAUCAGAGAGAGGAGCAAGGGCGUGGCCAGGACGUGCAGACAGGCCCCUCCACCCCCACCUCCAUCACAGCGCCCACCUCCUCCGGUUUACCCCGCCCAGCAGGCACCAAACCCCCUGGUGAGGUGGACGCGCUCCGUAGACGAAGGAUAUGACUCCGCCCCCGGGGACGUUCCGCGGAUGGACCGCCGUGACCCGCGGGUGGAGUUAGUCCUUUUCUACGACAUGGUGGUUGGUAUUGAUGCGAGGCUGAGCAUGCUUCGUCUGGUGUCGUCUCUCUACCUGGGGGAGCAGCAGAUGGGGCUGCCGGCCCCCCUGCCCUGUGUCCUGUGUCAACCGGGGGUAGAAAUGCCCUUUUCCCAACAACUGCCCCCAGGAGUCUACGCCCCCCUGCUGGUCAAACAGCCGGUACCCAGACUCUGCCCGUACCCCGGCCUCUGCCUGGUGAUGGAGGUCCACGGGCCAGGGGCGCGCCACGGUCCCAGGAGGCAGGAGAUGAUGUCUCUGGGCUGGGCACGGCUGGAGCUCUUUGACCUAAACAGCCAGCUCCACAGGGGCUAUUGGAAGGUUCCGGUUCGCAGCCUUCCAGUUACACCGGCCAAACAUCAAGUCGACCUCGACUCUGUGCCACAGGUGGGCCAUAUGGAGAUACUGUUGCGUGUGGCCGGACCUGAAGGAGAUGCACCAGUUCAGCCUGGUUCCAGUGCUCCGGGGCAAUAUGAACAUCCCAUAGUGGUUUCUUCUCAUGCAGUACCUGUACCAGUCUCAGUAACGUCUUCAACAACGUCAUUGUUAAGCCAUGAGUUCCCCAUAACAGCCAAUCAAAGCUUCUCCGGUCCAAUUGACCAAAACGAGGAAGCCAACCAGAGUUCAGAGGAAGUGGACGACCAAAUAGGUACCGAGACUGUGGACAUUUUGGGGCUUGAAAUUAAAUAAACACUGUUUGCGUAGGAUCAAUAGGACUUCAUUGGUGUUCUACAUGGUUUGAUUAGGUCAUUAGGAUUAUCUAAAUACUGCUGAAAGGCCAUGUGGCUUGUAUUAUCUCUCUCUACAUAUAUAUAUUCUAUGUUUGUUCUAAUUUCCCUUUGUUUGCAAGAUUAUUUUAUUUAUUAUAAAAUAUGAAUUAUUAUUAACCCAUAUUUGUCCACUAUUUUCAAUGUAGCACAUUUGUAUGAAUAGAGUAUAUACAUCAAGGCAAGUCAAUUAGUCAGAUGAUCAUUUGGCAAAGAUGACAGCAAGAUGAAGGGGGACUUAUGUGCAAAGAACAUAACUAAUUUAUUACUGUUACAGCAUAAUGGCAGUACGGGAGAUGUUUUGACACAGCACAAUCAUUUCCCCAAUAAGCUAUACUAUGCAUUGUUCAGCUCAGUGGCUCCGUUCAAAUUAUUUUCUUCUAUUGCUUCACUUAAACUUGGAGCGGAAGUCUAGCAGUGGUCAAGCGGGUGGAAUACUGUGUGAAAUGAGUCAACCCUUUAGACCUUCACUAAUGAAAUUAAAUAAUUCAGCCAGGCAUCUUCAGUCGCAGGGCCAUACGAUGGCUAAUCCCAAAUUGACUGUAUUGGAACAGUGGCUAGAACGGCUGUUGAGGAAAACCUCCGGGAGUGGAAUUCAAAUGGAGGACGUCAACUAGAUUCACCUCCAUCAAACAUAAUCAGAACAUGAACCAACCAUGUUGGGAGGCAGGAAUGUGUCCCUCCUCGGUCUAUAGGAUACACAAAUAAAAAAUGAAUUUGCCUCAUUGACAAAUUAAGUUGAGUCAGAUAAAAUAAGUACAAUAUUUGAUAUUCCUAAUGUGUCACUGAUCAUGAUCUAGAUUUAGUUGUUGGUGUUUGGGUCGCAGGCCAGCAGGGGCAGCCAGGCUGCUGGUAUGGCUAUUGGCUGGUCCUUCGUUCAGGCUGGAUUGGUGCUUUCCAUUUGACAUUUACCCUGCAGGUGGACCUCAGUGCUUCCACAGUUGACUGAGUUCGUGUUCAGGCCGCCCACAGUCUUUGCUUUGGAGGACGAGCCUUUGAGUCGUUUCUCUCCCUCACAAACGUCACUCAGAGGAAUCCGAGCUUCGAGUGGAAUCAUGGGCUGAACGUCGUCCAUGAGAUCCAGCAGCUUCUUCUUGAUGUGCUCCAGCCCCCUCUGCUCCUCCACCAGAUGCACCUUCUCCGUGAGGUGUUUCAGGAGAUCAGAACAUUCCUUCCUCACAAACGUCUUCCUGGACCAUAUGAGCUCCCCGUUGACGGCGUGGCCCGUGUGGGCGCUUGGCGACGGAGUCUUGAUGAUGUAAACGUUCUCCCAGAUCACGGGGUCUCUCUGCAGGGCCUGUUUCAGCCGGGCUGAAGCCGCCCGCUUUGUCCGGUCCUUAUUGUCCACAAUCUGUAAUGGAAAGGCAAUUUGUAAAUCACAAUCACAAGCUUCGGGCGUUUAGCAGACGCUUUUAUCCAAAGCAAUUUACAAUAAGUACAUUUGCCCGAAGAAUGAGAAACAAAUAUAUAUUGCUGUCUGUACAGUAAGGAUGUACAUAGAACCAAGUGCCGUACACAACAAAGACAGCUAGAUACUACACAACUAAGUACGACAUACAAUAAGUGCGAAUGAGGGGUGGGAAUGAUCCAAUGAUGAAUUGUGAUAGUUUGCUAUGGUACAAUGUUGAAAAGGAGAAAGUGAUUCUGCAUAUUUAGUGAAAAUGACCAAAGGUCCAUCACUAUGGGGGCUCACCUUGAACUGGGGGAAAGCUGCGAUUCUGGUGACGGUCAGAAUUGCAGGACAGCCGAUUUUUUUGCAAUCUUGCACACUCUUACGCUUUCUUCGUUUCCUGGUACCGGCGUUAUCCUACGAUGAAUUGUAGGAGAGAAAACAAAAUUGUUUGUUAAAACCUACGACACAAGAAUGGGGUUUAAAUGUUUGUUUCUCCAGAAAUGCGUUUGAAUGCUUGCCUCUCAGCGUAUAGACAAAGCAUCAGUGCAUUAUUCAAGAGGGCAAAUAUUGGGAGAGGACUUUCAAUUUAAUCAAAUUUUUUUUUUUCAACAUGCUCGACUUCCUCGUUAUAAUCAAUCUAUUUCCUUUCGAUUAUCUAUACAUUUUCGGGUGAGGCGUGAUACAAGUAUCGAUUGUAAGACAUAUCCUGUCCUGUCCUAUCCGGACACGGUGUGAUUAGAAGACAAAUACCCUCAUAUUCUCACUAAUGGCGUUAUCUGUCAAAGGUUAGUCAAGUCCUGUGAUGUUCUGUGAUGUUAGUCAUGUCCUGUGAUUUAGAUGGUCCCCUACCCUGAGAUAAACAUCUCAAUGUGUUGGGGUUUAGGGUCAGUCACCAGAUGAGGAUCGCUAUCAAAGUAACCACCAAUAAACACUAAAGGAGGGUCCAUUGGUUUACCUACACAAAAGAGCAUUACCUACAUUCAACAAGUCGGGUUUAUCCUUCCGCUUCUUGCUCUCGGAGAUGUCUCUCCCCAGAUGACAUCCCAUCUCCUUCGUCCCGAUGAACAUGAACGGGGUGCCGGUGAAGGCGAUGGUCGGGGUGCCCUCUCCCCUACUCCACUCCCAGAACACACGGGUGUUGGACGUCGGUUGCCACACUGCAUGUUGGAUUAGCAAAGCCUGAUCAGUUAAACAUCUGAAACGACCCACAGUGGAGGACUAGUAGAAUUAGAUAACAUGAGCUGGCUACGACUCACUACAACCUAACUUCGCUUGAAUUCAAUGUAUCCGUCGCUAAAUAACCUUGUUACUUACUAUUAUCAAAAAACGAAGCAUGUGUCCCGUACACCACAAACUUAGUCAUGGUGGCGGCUUCGUUUUGUUCUAUAAAAGACUCGACUUCUCGCAGGUCGUUGAAUACGUGUUGCUGUUCCUCCAUCUUCGUCCAUGUUGUUAGUGGAAGAGCCGCGGUGGCUGCCGGGAGAGACGACGGUUCAAGUUCCGACUCUGAACAGAAGAGGGCGCCAAAACCCAAUAUAAACUCCGUCAACUGAACACUGCAAGUAUGUCGUGGAGCAGCGAUUCCCACCUUUUUGUUCCAAGGAAGGUCUGCGACAGCAUAUUCAUAAAAUAAUUUGGACCAGUAUAACAUUUUAAUGCCUUAAUUUUCA